rnacentral:rRNA from 1 species
GGGCCCGCACAAGCGGUGGAGUAUGUGGUUUAAUUCGAUGCAACGCGAAGAACCUUACCAACACUUGACAUGUUCGUCGCGACUCUAAGAGAUUAGAGUUUUCGGUUCGGCCGGACGAAACACAGGUGCUGCAUGGCUGUCGUCAGCUCGUGUCGUGAGAUGUUGGGUUAAGUCCCGCAACGAGCGCAACCCUCACUUUUAGUUGCCAUCAUUAAGUUGGGCACUCUGAAAGAACUGCCAGUGAUAAGCUGGAGGAAGGUGGGGAUGACGUCAAGUCCUCAUGGCCCUUACGUGUUGGGCUACACACGUGCUACAAUGGUAUCUACAACGAGUCGCAAUACCGCGAGGUGGAGCAAAUCUCUUAAAGCUUGUCUCAGUUCGGAUAGGAGUCUGCAACUCGACUCCUUGAAGUUGGAGUCGCUAGUAAUCGC